rnacentral:rRNA from 1 species
UAGGGGAGCGUUCUGUAAGCCUGUGAAGGUGUGCUGUGAGGCAUGCUGGAGGUAUCAGAAGUGCGAAUGCUGACAUAAGUAACGAUAAAGCGGGUGAAAAGCCCGCUCGCCGGAAGACCAAGGGUUCCUGUCCAACGUUAAUCGGGGCAGGGUGAGUCGACCCCUAAGGCGAGGCCGAAAGGCGUAGUCGAUGGGAAACAGGUUAAUAUUCCUGUACUUGGUGUUACUGCGAAGGGGGGACGGAGAAGGCUAUGUUGGCCGGGCGACGGUUGUCCCGGUUUAAGCGUGUAGGCUGGUUUUCCAGGCAAAUCCGGAAAAUCAAGGCUGAGGCGUGAUGACGAGGCACUACGGUGCUGAAGCAACAAAUGCCCUGCUUCCAGGAAAAGCCUCUAAGCAUCAGGUAACAUCAAAUCGUACCCCAAACCGACACAGGUGGUCAGGUAGAGAAUACCAAGGCGCUUGAGAGAACUCGGGUGAAGGAACUAGGCAAAAUGGUGCCGUAACUUCGGGAGAAGGCACGCUGAUAUGUAGGUGAGGUCCCUCGCGGAUGGAGCUGAAAUCAGUCGAAGAUACCAGCUGGCUGCAACUGUUUAUUAAAAACACAGCACUGUGCAAACACGAAAGUGGACGUAUACGGUGUGACGCCUGCCCGGUGCCGGAAGGUUAAUUGAUGGGGUUAGCGGUAACGCGAAGCUCUUGAUCGAAGCCCCGGUAAACGGCGGCCGUAACUAUAACGGUCCUAAGGUAGCGAAAUUCCUUGUCGGGUAAGUUCCGACCUGCACGAAUGGCGUAAUGAUGGCCAGGCUGUCUCCACCCGAGACUCAGUGAAAUUGAACUCGCUGUGAAGAUGCAGUGUACCCGCGGCAAGACGGAAAGACCCCGUGAACCUUUACUAUAGCUUGACACUGAACAUUGAGCCUUGAUGUGUAGGAUAGGUGGGAGGCUUUGAAGUGUGGACGCCAGUCUGCAUGGAGCCGACCUUGAAAUACCACCCUUUAAUGUUUGAUGUUCUAACGUUGACCCGUAAUCCGGGUUGCGGACAGUGUCUGGUGGGUAGUUUGACUGGGGCGGUCUCCUCCUAAAGAGUAACGGAGGAGCACGAAGGUUGGCUAAUCCUGGUCGGACAUCAGGAGGUUAGUGCAAUGGCAUAAGCCAGCUUGACUGCGAGCGUGACGGCGCGAGCAGGUGCGAAAGCAGGUCAUAGUGAUCCGGUGGUUCUGAAUGGAAGGGCCAUCGCUCAACGGAUAAAAGGUACUCCGGGGAUAACAGGCUGAUACCGCCCAAGAGUUCAUAUCGACGGCGGUGUUUGGCACCUCGAUGUCGGCUCAUCACAUCCUGGGGCUGAAGUAGGUCCCAAGGGUAUGGCUGUUCGCCAUUUAAAGUGGUACGCGAGCUGGGUUUAGAACGUCGUGAGACAGUUCGGUCCCUAUCUGCCGUGGGCGCUGGAGAACUGAGGGGGGCUGCUCCUAGUACGAGAGGACCGGAGUGGACGCAUCACUGGUGUUCGGGUUGUCAUGCCAAUGGCACUGCCCGGUAGCUAAAUGCGGAAGAGAUAAGUGCUGAAAGCAUCUAAGCACGAAACUUGCC